rnacentral:rRNA from 1 species
GACGAACGCUGGCGGCGUGCCUAAUACAUGCAAGUCGAGCGGACGGAUGGGAGCUUGCUCCCAGACCGUCAGCGGCGGACGGGUGAGUAACACGUGGGCAACCUGCCUGUAAGACUGGGAUAACUCCGGGAAACCGGGGCUAAUACCGGAUAACUCUUUCCCUCACAUGAGGGAAAGCUGAAAGAUGGCAUCUCGCUAUCACUUACAGAUGGGCCCGCGGCGCAUUAGCUAGUUGGUGAGGUAACGGCUCACCAAGGCGACGAUGCGUAGCCGACCUGAGAGGGUGAUCGGCCACACUGGAACUGAGACACGGCCCAGACUCCUACGGGAGGCAGCAGUAGGGAAUCUUCCGCAAUGGACGAAAGUCUGACGGAGCAACGCCGCGUGAGUGAUGAAGGUUUUCGGAUCGUAAAGCUCUGUUGUCAGGGAAGAACAAGUACCGGAGUAACUGCCGGUACCUUGACGGUACCUGACCAGGAAGCCACGGCUAACUACGUG